AAAGCGUGCGCAGGCGGCUUUGCAAGACAGAUGUGAAAUCCCCGGGCUCAACCUGGGAACUGCAUUUGUGACUGCAAGGCUAGAGUACGGUAGAGGGGGGUAGAAUUCCACGUGUAGCAGUGAAAUGCGUAGAUAUGUGGAGGAACACCGAUGGCGAAGGCAGCCCCCUGGGUCAAAACUGACGCUCAUGCACGAAAGCGUGGGGAGCAAACAGGAUUAGAUACCCUAGU
rnacentral:rRNA from 1 species